GGAAUUAGGAGCAUCUGAAAUGAGAAAAAUGAUCUACAUUUAAAAGCAAUUUCAGAAGGACUCCAGAUUAUUAUCUCUAAAUUAUGGAAGGCUGACAUCUAAGGCUGUACAUUUAUUUAAUUACAAGUAGAUGAAAAGACACAUGCUACAUAUGUUUGGGACAUUCACAUGCCCAUGAACGCAUUAGUGAGAUAAUAGUCUCAAAUAGUAGAGGUUACACUUUCACAUAUUGGCAAACAUUAUUCAAAUACGAAAACCACAAAUUUGUCUACACAUAUUUCUCAUCUUAUUCCUUCUGCCUUAUUUUAAACUUUACCUUUUGAAAAUUUCUGUCAUUUUCAGAGUAACUCAGGUAUUGUAAGGCUGUGCUCACACACCUGUGUACACUUGUGGGCAAAUGGGAAUUUGUGACUAGCCUAUUUCUUCUUAAUCUGCUCAAACAAAAAGAAUUGAAAAUAAUAGCAACUUGCUUCUUGACUCACGGAGCAAAUAAAAGUCUUCCUGCAUUCUCUUAGUCUUAUUCUCCUAAAUCUGGUUUUAAAACACGCAUAUUAAAAGUAUGUGAACUUUCUUUAGAGUGGCCUACUCCACACAAGCAAAGACGGAAGUUUGUUCCAAUGCUUUUAAAAUUCUGAAAUGUACAAAAUGGGUACUGCGUGCAUAAUGCUUCACUUUAAAACUCAUGGACAGGAGAAAGUUCAAGAGUUCGAAACUCCCUCCACUCAUUCUCAGCAUGCAUACCUUUUUCAAUGAUUUCUCUUGUUUACAAAGAAAUGUCUUAAAAUGGACACCGCUCUUAAACAUUAAAUUUAUGGCAAGAACGUAGAACUGCAAAUUCCACCUAAAAGUAGCCUUAGUAGUUCCUCUGGCUAUUAGAUGUAGUUCUGUUUCAUCAUCUUAGCCGCUUACACAACAGUUCGUUGUAUUCACUGUACAAUUUGUUCAGAGUAAACUGUCUUAGCAUACAUAACCGCUAAGCCAUUAUGGACGACUAUGAAGAGUAAGUGUGAACGAAGCUGGUGUUGCAGAAAAGAAUUACGCAAUGUUUCUUUGCUUACUAUGUGUCAGGCACUAUUUUGGACGUCUAUAUGUGUCCAUCCAUUUAAUCUUCAUACCGACUGCACGAGGAGACGCUGCUAGCACCUACAUUCACGAGUUCAUUUGCCAAGAUGGUGUAAGUCAUGAGUAUUGUGCUGAGAAUCAAAUCCAGGAGGUCUGGCUCCGAAGCCAAGCUGUUGGUCUGUCUACUGUACCACCUCUUGAAAAGGAAAAAAAAACAAAUAAUUGCUAAAAAUUAUCUAACAUUUUAAAAGUUCAAAUGAAAUAAAAGGAAAACAAAUGAGUUGAAAAUGUGGAUAGAGAUGCAUAAAAAAUAAGUC
rnacentral:lncRNA from 1 species